rnacentral:rRNA from 1 species
CCUACGGGAGGCAGCAGUGAGGAAUAUUGGUCAAUGGACGAGAGUCUGAACCAGCCAAGCCGCGUGAAGGAUGAAUGCACUAUGGGUUGUAAACUUCUUUUAUAAAGGAAUAAAACGAGGCACGUGUGCCUUUUUGCAUGUACUUUAUGAAUAAGGAUCGGCUAACUCCGUGCCAGCAGCCGCGGUAAUACGGAGGAUCCGAGCGUUAUCCGGAUUUAUUGGGUUUAAAGGGAGCGUAGGUGGGUUGUUAAGUCAGGUGUGAAAGUUUGCGGCUCAACCGUAAAAUUGCAAUUGAUACUGGCAGUCUUGAGUACAGUGGAGGUAGGCGGAAUUCGUGGGGUAGCGGUGAAAUGCUUAGAUAUCACGAAGAACCCCGAUUGCGAAGGCAGCUUACUAACCUGUGACUGACAUUGAUGCUCGAAAGUGUGGGUAUCAAACAGGAUUGGAUACCCGAGUAGUC